rnacentral:rRNA from 1 species
GAUGAACGCUGGCGGCGUGCUUAACACAUGCAAGUCGAACGAUGAAGCCGGAGCUUGCUCUGGUGGAUUAGUGGCGAACGGGUGAGUAACACGUGAGUAACCUGCCCUUGACUCUGGGAUAAGCGCUGGAAACGGCGUCUAAUACCGGAUACGAGCUUCCACCGCAUGGUGAGUUGCUGGAAAGAAUUUCGGUCAAGGAUGGACUCGCGGCCUAUCAGCUUGUUGGUGAGGUAACGGCUCACCAAGGCGACGGCGGGUAGCCGGCCUGAGAGGGUGACCGGCCACACUGGGACUGAGACACGGCCCAGACUCCUACGGGAGGCAGCAGUGGGGAAUAUUGCACAAUGGGCGCAAGCCUGAUGCAGCAACGCCGCGUGAGGGACGAAGGCCUUCGGGUCGUAAACCUCUCUUAGCAGGGAAGAAGCGAAAGUGACGGUACCUGCAGAAAAAGCACCGGCUAACUACGUGCCAGCCGCCGCCGUAA